rnacentral:rRNA from 1 species
UGAGGAAUAUUGGUCAAUGGGCGCGAGCCUGAACCAGCCAAGUCGCGUGAGGGAUGACGGCCCUACGGGUUGUAAACCUCUUUUGUCGGGGAGCAAAUUCCGUUACGUGUAACGGAGUCGAGAGUACCCGAAGAAAAAGCAUCGGCUAACUCCGUGCCAGCAGCCGCGGUAAUACGGAGGAUGCGAGCGUUAUCCGGAUUUAUUGGGUUUAAAGGGUGCGUAGGCGGACUGUCAAGUCAGCGGUAAAAUACGGGGGCUCAACCUCCGCCCGCCGUUGAAAACUGACGGUCUUGAGUGGGCGAGAAGUAUGCGGAAUGCGUGGUGUAGCGGUGAAAUGCAUAGAUAUCACGCAGAACUCCGAUUGCGAAGGCAGCAUACCGGCGCCCAACUGACGCUGAAGCACGAAAGCGUGGGUAUCGAACAGGAUUAGAUACC